ACUAUUUUGGCAGAUAAGUGCGUUAGAUUUAGAAUCUAUUAAUGUAAAUUUUUAUUUACAGGUAGUA
rnacentral:tRNA from 1 species